AUGAAUUUCUUAAGUUGGAACUGCCGGGGUGGGGGGAAUACCCGGACAGUUCGUGAGUUGGCGACGUUAUCUCAGUCGCAUUCCCCCAACUUUAUCUUCCUAUGUGAAACUAGACAGAAGGCUAGCAAGAUGAAAAGGAUCCGGGCAAGAUUGGGCCUUAAGGGCUUUGAGGGUGUGGACAGCAAUGGUAUGAGCGGGGGUCUGGCCCUUUACUGGCAUGAGUCUUGUGUUGUGGAGGUGGUUGAUAAAGAGGAAAGGUAUAUUGAUGCUUUAGUGAGGAUGCAUGAGCGUGGAACCCAAUGGAGAGUUACUUGUGUGUAUGGAGAACCUCGCACUGAAAAUCGUCAUCUCAUGUGGACGAAGCUUCAGAGUUUGAAGAAUACUUGUGAUCUUCCAUGA
rnacentral:rRNA from 1 species